rnacentral:misc_RNA from 1 species
AGUCGGCAGUACACCACCCUCUCGCUCUCGUCCUCCCUUGCUGCUCAAUAUCCACGCUGAGACACACACCCACGCAGACGCACCAAAAGCCAAGAAGGGGAGAGGGUGGGUGAAAGUGGGCGGAGGAAACCUCUUGCCGCGGUGUGCAUCCGUCUGUCUGUCUGCUCCUUGCCUCUCUCGACGAUUGGUGCUCGUUUGCUCUCUUAGUGCAUAUUCGAUGCUUUACAUAUUUUCUAAAUGAGCACCUCAACUCGUCGCAUCAGCGUCACCUCGGAGCAGCUGCAGAGCGACGCUCUUCGCGCCCAGCUCUUCAGUGCGUGCUGCGCGUACGGCGUUGUGGAGUGGGCGCAGUACCAGGAGGACCCGAACUACAACACCACCACAGUGCACAUUCAGUUCCAGAAGCUGUCCAGCGCCGACCGUCUCCGCAGCGACGUGCAGCAGCGAGGGCGCCUUUGGCAGAUCGAGAGCGAACCGGCGGCGCUGUGCGUGGGUACGGAUGUUCUACUGAGCGCUGCGGAGGUGCUGCGCCUUGGCCGUCUCACCGCUGCACUGCCCGGCUUUGCAUGCACGGCACUUAUAGGCGUCACUGUAAGCAACACAAGCACCGCGGCAACGGCGAAGCAGACGCCGUCGCUGCCUACAUUUGAGGAGAAGAGCUUUCUGCUGCACGGCCGCAGCACCGCAUCGCGCACCACCCCCGCUUCUUCCAAGGUCACAGCCGAGCAGGAGGCUGCCCUAUGGUCUGGGUUCGAACAAGAAUCCUCUGAGGUGCGCCACAGCUGCCUCGGCCCGUACUGCGCAGUGCUUCAUUUUGGCUCCCCGCGCGAUGCCAAUGAGUUUCUCUGCCAGCACCAACUCAUUUUGGCGGAGCAGCACAGCGUGUACGCCAUUCACGUUGGCACCGCACCCGGCUGCGCAUUAGCGGUCGCGCUGCCAAAAAUGUUGGCACGGCACGCGCUUGCCGACUGUGCCGUCGAUGGGCGCGUGGUGCGCGGCUACGUGGUGGCCAUGCACUCUAGCACGUACUGCGUGGUGGAUGCUGGCCUCUAUCCAUCCGCUGAUCAGGCAAGCAUCACCACGCUAGUUCACACGCACACCAACUUCUUAAGCGUAUCACUAGGGGACGAGGUGCAGGUGCAGCUGUCCGCCAGUGGGGGGCUGACAAUGGCUGAGAAAGGGAUGGUCGGGGGCAAGCUGCUGCGCGUCACCAGCGCCUCUGCUUUUUCAACUCGCCGCUCCGUUACCAAGGCGCAGCUACCCAAUACUGCUGCUCGCACCCUUCGCACCUCCAACCUAGCGCAUGGCUUAGUUGGCGCUGCUUCAUCGCCGCACCAGCCGCAGGCGAGACCUGCCAGUGGAGGCAGGGCAACGGAUGUGGCGGGGGCGGUAAGGCGCGGCACGCUCAACAACAAGCCAAACGCGACAGUCACCGGUGGUGGUAAUGGUGGUGCAGUUACAUCCAAGCCUGCAGGCGGAGCUGCUGCCAAGGCACUUGCCAGCAAGCUUUUCAGGAGUAUUCAGCAGAAGAGAAGUAGCGGCGGAGACAGUGAGGGCAACUCCGCGGAACGCAUCUGCGCCUACCCAGCCGGCCUAGGCGCGUACGCGCGGCUGCUGGUGCGCGUAGAGCGGAUCGAAGAGGAUGGCCUGCACGCCCGCUGCGUCGACGACGCCGAAAACUGCGGCUACGCCGGGCCCGUUUUCAUCCCUGCCGCGUUUGUGCCGGCUGACACCAGCAGCACCGGUCAGGGAUGGCGGACGUUUGCGGUUGUAGGGGAGCGCAUGCAUGUGGCGCUGCUUUACAUGGUGGCCGUGGGUGGCAGCGCCGCAACCAUGCGUGGCGUUGCCUCCAAAAAGGAGGCGGAUCUUCGCCACGCGGCAGCAGCCGCGGUGAGGGUCACGCCAGGAGACGUGGAGGGCGCCUCGGUUACCGCGGGGACGACAGUAAUGGCAAUGACCAUGCUGAAGCUUUCUGCCGGCGAUCUCGGUGUCCCGGCGGCCGACCACACAUCCCCAUACUUCCCCGCCUUUCUUCUCUACCCAGGGCUGCACGCGCCAGCGUCGCUGCGCCAAACGGUGCUUCUGCUGCCCUUGUCCGACCUGGGCUCGCUGGACCCCGCAACCCUCUCCACCUUGCCGGCGUCUCUCAUUGUGUCAGAGGUGGUGAACGACGUGAUGCGUGGGCAGUACGCCGUGGUAGUACCAUGCGCAGUCUACGCCGCGCGCCAAGCUCAGCGCGCGGCCGCACAAGAGCAGCGCAAGACGGCUGAGGUGGACGAGGUGAAGCGCCGAUUGGCGGCGGUCAUGGGGCAAGACAUCCUUAAGGUGCUGAACGCCGAGGAUGAGCCAGCUGCUAAGCGUCCCCGCGACGGGGACUGAGAUGUGGCUUAAUCACCCCGACGCAGCGCGUUGGCCCAUAUACCUUUCACACACAUAUACACAUCCCCCCAACGAAGAAAAAGCACUUGCGCGCCUUGGAGCAAGUGCUAG